UACGGAGGGUGCAAGCGUUAUCCGGAUUCACUGGGUUUAAAGGGUGCGUAGGCGGGUUGGUAAGUCCGUGGUGAAAUCCCCAAGCUUAACUUGGGAACUGCCGUGGAUACUAUCAAUCUUGAAUAUCGUGGAGGUAAGCGGAAUAUGUCAUGUAGCGGUGAAAUGCUUAGAUAUGACAUAGAACGCCAAUUGCGUAGGCAGCUUACUACACGAUCAUUGACGCUGAGGCACGAAAGCGUGGGGAGCAAACAGG
rnacentral:rRNA from 1 species